rnacentral:lncRNA from 1 species
GAGGGAUGCCUCCUUUUUCAUGGAAGGAAGAGAGGAAAGGGGCGUAGCACUUCUUCAUGGGGUGUGAGGAUUUCUCUUGGUGAAAAGGUUGUGGCGUGGAGAUUAAAUAUCACAUGGGUUGAUUUGGGUUUAGUCUUAUUCCAAAUAGGAUUCAAGAUCUUGAUCAAAUUCUAACUAAUUCCUAACUAACUUAGGAAUUAGUUAUAACAAACUAACUAAUUGGGUCCUAGCCCAACUAUGAAACAUAUUAGGCCCCAAUCGAUUUUAGAAUCAGUUAGAUUAAAAUCUCAUUGAUCCAGGGAUUGAUUCUUGAUAAAGAUUAGGGAAGCUAUUUGAUA